UUCUGGCUCAGGAUGAACGCUAGCUACAGGCUUAACACAUGCAAGUCGAGGGGCAGCAUUGGAGUAGCAAUACUUCAGAUGGCGACCGGCGCACGGGUGAGUAACACGUAUCCAACCUGCCGCUUACUCGGGGAUAGCCUUUCGAAAGAAAGAUUAAUACCCGAUGGUAUAAAGAGUUCGCAUGUUCUCUUUAUUAAAGAAUUUCGGUAAGCGAUGGGGAUGCGUUCCAUUAGAUUGUUGGCGGGGUAACGGCCCACCAAGUCUACGAUGGAUAGGGUUCUGAGAGGAAGGUCCCCCACAUUGGAACUGAGACACGGUCCAAACUCCUACGGGAGGCAGCAGUGAGGAAUAUUGGUCAAUGGACGAGAGUCUGAACCAGCCAAGUAGCGUGAAGGAUGACUGCCCUAUGGGUUGUAAACUUCUUUUAUAAGGGAAUAAAGUGAGGGACGUGUCCCUUUUUGUAUGUACCUUAUGAAUAAGGAUCGGCUAACUCCGUGCCAGCAGCAGC
rnacentral:rRNA from 1 species